rnacentral:tRNA from 1 species
GCCUGAGAGGCUCAGUCGGUUGAGCAUCCGACUUCAGCUCGGGUCGUGGUCUCCCAGUUCAUGAGUUCAAGCCCCACAUCAGGCU